GUAGGAUAGAGGCCUACCAUGGUGGUAACGGGUAACGGGGUGUUAGGGCACGACACCGGAGAGGGAGCCUGAGAAACGGCUACCACAUCCAAGGAAGGCAGCAGGCGCGCAAAUUACCCAAUCCCGACAUGGGGAGGUAGUGACAAUAAAUAACAAUACAGGGUUCUUUUGGAUCUUGUAAUUGGAAUGAGUACAAUUUAAAUCUCUUAACGAGGAACAAUUGGAGGGCAAGUCUGGUGCCAGCAGCCGCGGUAAUUCCAGCUCCAAUAGCGUAUAUUAAAGUUGUUGCAGUUAAAAAGCUCGUAGUUGAAUUUCGGGAUCAAGGAAUCGGUCAUGCCUCGGUAUGUACUGGUUUUAUUGGUUCUCACCUUCUAAAGAACCAUAAUGUCAUUCAUUUGAUGUUAUGGGGAAUUAGGACUGUUACCUUGAAAAAAUUAGAGUGUUUAAAGCAGGCUUACGCUUGAAUACAUUAGCACGGAAUAAUGAAAUAGGACAUCAGAUUCUAUUUUUGUUGGUUUCUAGGAUCGAUGUAAUGAUUAAUAGGGAUAGUUGGG
rnacentral:rRNA from 1 species